rnacentral:rRNA from 1 species
CCUGCUGAGGUGUGAAAAAAGAUUGACAGCCUGCGACGUGCUUAUCUUUGGGCUGGCUGUGACAAGGUGUCUGGUGGAAAGUGUAAGGUUAAUUGGGAGCAUAUUUGCAAGCCCAAGAUCUUCGGUGGCCUGGGUGUGCUCAAUCUUGAGAAAUUUGCGAUCGCCCUUCAUCUUCGUUGGCUUUGGUUUGAAUGGGCUGACCCUCCCAAAACUUGGAUGGGGAUGGAAACGCCCUGUUCUGAUACUGACAGAGAUCUUUUUUCAGCAUCCAUGAUUGUGACCGUUGGUGAUGGCAAAAAAGCAAAAUUCUGGGAGUCAUCUUGG